UAUACAAACUGUAGUGCCACGCUGUCUUCAGAGUACCAACAUCAAGAGCUUUGUCCUCUGGAGUGGGUAGGGCAUAGGGAUGAUCACUUUCAAUUGGGAUAAGAAAAAGUAUCAAAUAUCUCUGCGUCACAUUCAAAACGCAGGAUUUAAAAGAACGUUGGUCCGCUAGUAGGACGGCUCUUUAUAACUGUAUCUUUUGAAGACCUCCCGAUAGCCUGGAAGAGUUUGGCAUUUUGAAGAAAUAAUUACGUAAAAUGGAUAAAUUCUGGAUAGAAAACAUUGACAAGACUGUGCGCAAAGAAACAGACCUAAGAAUUAAAAGAAGUGUCCACAUUGUGAAAUCAUCAAGAGCGGAGUUCAUGAAACUCCAUUUGGCUUCGGUUGAACCUCUGGGCAGAUUCACCACAUUGAAGAAAAGAGGAGAAAACCUUUUCCAGUGGAGGUGUGAAAGAUCCAGGAUCCCAAGGGGUCAGUCAACAGGUUGCCCAACUAAGUCCAAGGCAAAUCAUUGUGGAGCAUACAUAUCAUUUCAGUUUAAGAGUGAUAGAAAUAUUGAUUGCUGUAUUGUACGGCUCCAACCAGAGCACUCAGGUCACAAUCUUGACAGUACUAAUGAGAAUGUUGUCUUUGAUUCGGCCACAUACAUGGACACGGACGAACAACCCAACAAAGGUGCUGUUGCAGUUGUAGAGUCACGUGUGAACGCAUGCAUUGCUAUACAGACUAACUCAACGCCCAGCACACAAUCAGAUACAGACGCACAAAACAAAGACACAAAAGAUGCUCUUACAGAAACCAAAAAACACACCGACACAGAUUCUGCUAUAGACACGAGCACUGUCUUCAAAGAAGUGGAGAGCAUCCUACCGUUGUCUUGUGGACUCCGAAAACGAAGAUAUCCCGUGUCUAUUGGAGAGGUGAAGAGGAGGGUGGGGCCUCCAGAAAAUAUGUCCCUAGCUUCUCUGGUCGCCUAUUUAAGGGAGGAUAAGAACAAGAAAGACACCCUGAGACAGGAUUUCCAGAAAACUGGCAUACACCUGUGGCCAACGACAACUGUGACAUCUUUGUGUUCCAGAGUCACAGAAGGUGAGGCUGCAGACCUUGGUCGUAGUAUUGGGAAACUGGCAGCAACCACAAUUCCCUUUGAUGACAUCUCAGUAGUGGACCAUCAGCAUGAAGACAUUUCAAUUAAGAAACUCUGUGAAUUUAAGGAGAUGCUGCAUAGCACAGUGACUGCGGUGAAAGCACAGAGUUUAGACUUCAACUUGGCCACACACGGACUGGGGUUAGGAUUGCUCGAUGUGUACACAAAUAUUAUCAUAACUGUUACAGAAAAGGGAAUUGAAAAACUUUGGGAAAAUAGAUAGUAUAAUAAUUCAGUGAGAAAUUAUUAUUUUGAUUGAGACUGCUUCAUUCUUUAUUUGUAUACAAGUUCAACAUGUUUUCAUGGAAACACUUUACUAUAAGGUUGUAUUUGUACAUUAUUUAACAUUAAUCAACAAUAAACAAUACUUUUUCAGCACUUAUUAAUCUUGAUUAAUGCAGGGAUGCAAACUCAUGAGAGGUUAAAAAGGUGAGAAAGUCAUAGGAGGUGUUCUAGAUAUAUAUUUUUAGUUGAUUUAUUUAUUGAAUUUACAUGUUUUUUUUUUUUUUUUCGCAUUUAAAGCCUUUAAAGUGUUUGUCACAAAGCGAGAGCGAGACAAAGAGACCCAAGAGCAGAGGAACAGUUCAAAGGAUUUAUUAACAAUAAAUAUUAACUUCCACUGUUCUGGUGAAGACUGAGGAUCCCGUCACCGGCUGCAGUUGCGGGGAGGAGUUUGAGGAUGCUUGCGCGCUGUGGCCGUGCAGUGAGCAAAUCCGUGAAUAGUGUGUUUGUAGGCGAGUGUGUGCAUUGUGGAAAUCAGGAGCAGAUUCAUAGGAAUCCUCCGUUGAAGCGUAGUGAGGUGCAGAAAACAACGCCCAAUCGACUGGGAGGCAAUCACUCUCCCGACACGUGGGCAGAGACGAGGAGUCCUCCGUUGAAGACUCGUGAGCGCAGAGAACAAGCGUACAGCAAACUGGAAGGCAACCACAGUCCCGACAUGUGGGCAGAGAUGGGCAACUAAACGGAUGCACAAGACAGGACCGACUAGGCAGAGAGAGUGAGACCCCCUAGCGCUCCUUUGUGGCCCCCUGGGGGUCCCCGGACCCCAGUUUUAAAACCCUUGAUAAGUGGCAUUCGAAGAGCACUGGGACACUUUACUGUUUGUAUCCCUCUUCUUGUCUGUCAUGGUUUUCCAGACAAACUGUCUGUCUGUGCGUUGCUCAGGUUGAAUAGAACUAAAAUAAAUGUCCAUAAUGUAUCUAAAAGGUGAGUAUUCCUGUAUUUUGGAGUAUUCCUGGAACCUGUAUUCUUUCAGUGUGUUGUCCUGCAUAAUCAUGAAUUUGAGAAAACAGCUGUACAGACACCUAACUUACACUUUCCAAUUGAGAGCAGAAUCUCAUGAGCUUUGGCACACGGAGCAGACAAAUCAUACCCAGAACCUUCACAAACAUAAGCACUCGCAACAUCUUUGAAGCUAUCAGUGAACUUGUAUCCACAUUAUAAUUCUGCUCCUGAGAAAAAUUAAACAUGCUUUUGUUUGAGAAAGGUUAAAUAAUGCAUUUUAAAUAUGCAAUGUUAUAUGAAUGAUGCUUGCUAUAUUAAUAGGAUAAACAAAA